GUACUGGAUUCAGCAGCACAUAUACUAAAAUUGGAAUGAAACAGAUAAUUAGCAUGGCCUAAGCACAGGAUGACACAAAUAUUCAUGUGAUAUUUCAUAAUUUU